CUCCGACCGGCGCCUAGCCACAGUGGUACCGUCAGCCCCUUCGCAGGCCCUAAUUAGCGGCGGAGGCCUCAAAGGGGUGUUCACCGUAGAGACGCUCGCUGAGCGGAGGAGACUUUCUUUGGAGUUGAUUAGAAUAAUAUACACACCUUGUGGCUGUUUUCUGUUCCCCUCUAGCGAUGUUUUGGAGACUGGUAGAAAAAGUUUCUCCUUGGCCUGGACAGUAGAUCCAAACACCUGAGCCCUAGUUUUACAGGGCUUUCAGGGAAUCCCUUUGCCAGUCUUUUGAAUGAGCUAAGAGGAAGAAAGGGUCAUGCCAACUGGCACCAUGUAAUGCAAAGAGAACCUGCUUCAUCAGUCGAUCACCUGUGCAACACUGAAGAUCCUUGACUUAAUUCCACACUCUUGCUUGAUGUUUUUUAACAAAUAACUCAUGAAGCUGAUACUGUGGCUUAAGUCUCUCAAUUUGGUCCUAUGUUUUCCCACUUUUUUCUUCCCUUUCUUGCUCUAAAAAGAGCUAAUAUCCCUCAUGAAAUACUUUAUUUUGGAAAGUUGCUGUGUCUGGCAGGUGGUUGAGAUCUAUUAAAUGUUUGUUAAAUGCUUUGGCAGUAACACCAUCAAGAAUGCAAUUUCCCCCCAAAACAAAGCUUCCACUUUUGUUCAAGUGCUUUUUGGUUCUUGGGAUUGAAAACUGCUAUUUCCUUGCUUUAAAACAUCUUUGAGCAUGUGAUUAUAAUCAAAACAAUUAAAAACUACCUUAUUUUAACCCAUUACUAUAACAUAUGUGUAACUCAGGCAUUUUUCUCCUAUUAAAUUGUUCUGGGAUGGCAUCAGGGAGUAAGUAGGUUGAAUCAUCAACACAAUCACCGGGAGAUGACCUUUUUUUGCCAGAGUAAAUUUAUUCCUGGUACAGUGGCUCCAAAGGCAAGAUUGUGUGGGACAUGCGUAUUCUUGUAGACAAGCCCAGAUCAUCAUAGCCCUGGCUUUCCCCAGAGAAUUUUAAUUCAGAUUAAGGUCUAGCUCUAAGAAAGCCUAGUUAUUCCUCAUCAGGAGCUUUCCCUCCUCCUCUAUACCCCUUUCUCUGUCUUUCAGACAGUUAAGCACCCAAACGUUCAGACGCUAAAUGUAAGCUGCCGUUUCCCCAAACCUGGGCCCUUUUUGAAAUAUGCUUAGCAAGUCCAAGAAGGUUUUGGGUAAGUGGUACAGUAGAUAUACCAUCCCUUCCUCCUUUUCUCCCUCUGCUUCCCACAACAUGAAUGAGCCCAUGCUGUUACCUGCAACAGCCCCACAGUUCACCCUAAGUGAGGAUUUUACACUCUUCUCACUUCUCUCUGGUUGGCUUCACUGAGACCUGCUGUCUCUGGGGCCUGCUGUGUGCAGUCACCAAAGUAGGCCUGCUUAUCACAGAAGGAUUGCCUCACUUUCUGAUAGGUCUUCCUAGGGGGUAAUUAUGAAUUAUCACCUUCUUUUCUCUUAAGCCUGUUUACCUCCUAUUGAUAACUCUUCUAGAGGUGAACUACAUUAUCCUCAUCACUGAGUUUUCACUUGAAGUGAGAACAAAUUCUUUUAACUAAUAUUUACUAAAGAUUUUUGUUCAGAUUGACUGCUAUAUUGAAUAUAUUAAUAUUUAAGCUUACCCAUAUCCUUUCUUCUUAGGCCCACUCCCAGGUUUGUCUCCCUUCCCAUCCCUACCUGGCCUUUAAGGAAAAUUCCUAUAUAAAUGGAAUUAUCUGUUUACUGUAAUACUGUGUUAUAGUCUCAUUUUAUGAAAUUUUAUCUAAAAAUCUGAAUGUUAACUGAAAAAAAGUAAUAUUCUCAACCAAGAACAAUGCUUGAGA